GACGAACGCUGGCGGCGUGCUUAACACAUGCAAGUCGAACGGAAAGGCCCUGCUUUUGUGGGUUGCUCGAUUGGCGAACGGGUGAGUAACACGUGAGUAACCUGCCCUUGACUUUGGGAUAUCUUCAGGAAACUGGGGCUAAUACCGGAUAGGAGCUCCUGCUGCAUGGUGGGGGUUGGAAAGUUUCGGCGGUUGGGGAUGGACUCGCGGCUUAUCAGCUUGUUGGUGGGGUAGUGGCUUACCAAGGCUUUGACGGGUAGCCGGCCUGAGAGGGUGACCGGGCACAUUGGGACUGAGAUACGGCACAGACUGCUACGGGAGGCAGCAGUGGGGAAUAUUGCACAAUGGGGGGAAGCCUGAUGAAGCAACGCCGCGUGCGGGAUGACGGCCUUCGGGUUGUAAACCGCUUUCGCCUGUGACGAAGCGUGAGUGACGGUAAUGGGUAAAGAAGCACCGGCUAACUACGUG
rnacentral:rRNA from 1 species